ensembl:snRNA U1 U1 spliceosomal RNA
AUACUUACCUGACAAGGAAGAUACAGUGAUCAAAAAGGUUAUCUUUCCAGGGCUAGACUCAUCCGUUGCAGUCCAGAUGUUCUGACCCCUGUGAUUUCCCCAAUAUGGGAAACUCAACUGCAUAAUUUGUGGUAGUGGGAGACUGUGUUGGCAUUCUUCCCAG